GACGAACGCUGGCGGCGUGCUUAACACAUGCAAGUCGAACGGAAAGGCCCUGCUUUUGUGGGGUGCUCGAGUGGCGAACGGGUGAGUAACACGUGAGUAACCUGCACUUGACUUUGGGAUAACUUCAGGAAACUGGGGCUAAUCCCGGAUAGGAGCUCCUGCUGCAUGGUGGGGGUGGGAAAGUUUCGGCGGUUGGGGAUGGACUCGCGGCUUAUCAGCUUGUUGGUGGGGUAGUGGCUUACCAAGGCUUUGACGGGUAGCCGGCCUGAGAGGGUGGCCGGCCACAUUGGGACUGAGAUACGGCCCAGACUCCUACGGGAGGCAGCAGUGGGGAAUAUUGCACAAUGGGCGGAAGCCUGAUGCAGCAACGCCGCGUGCGGGAUGACGGCCUUCGGGUUGUAAACCGCUUUCGUCUGUGACGAAGCGUGAGUGACGGUAAUGGGUAAAGAAGCACCGGCUAACUACGUG
rnacentral:rRNA from 1 species